UACGGAGGAGGCAAGCGUUAUCCGGAAUUAUUGGGCGUAAAGUGUCCGCAGGUGGCACUUCAAGUCUGUCGUCAAAGACUGGGGCUUAACCCUGGAAAGGCGGUGGAAACUGAAGCGCUAGAGUGCGGUAGGGGUAGAGGGAAUUCCCGGUGUAGCGGUGAAAUGCGUAGAGAUCGGGAAGAACAUCGGUGGCGAAAGCGCUCUACUGGACCGCAACUGACACUCAGGGACGAAAGCUAGGGGAGCGAAUGGG
rnacentral:rRNA from 1 species